UACAGAGGUCUCAAGCGUUGUCCGGAUUCAUUGGGCGUAAAGGGUGCGUAGGCGGCGAGGUUAGUCAGGUGUGAAAUCUCGGGGCUCAACCCCGAAACUGCACUUGAUACUGCCUUGCUAGAGUACUGGAGAGGAGAUUGGAAUUUACGGUGUAGCAGUGAAAUGCGUAGAUAUCGUAAGGAAGACCAGUGGCGAAGGCGAAUCUCUGGACAGUUACUGACACUGAGGCACGAAGGCCAGGGGAGCAAACGGG
rnacentral:rRNA from 1 species